rnacentral:rRNA from 1 species
GUUAUAUGGUCAAGUGAAGAAGCGCAUACGGUGGAUGCCUUGGCAGUCAGAGGCGAUGAAAGACGUGGUAGCCUGCGAAAAGCUUCGGGGAGUCGGCAAACAGACUGUGAUCCGGAGAUGUCUGAAUGGGGGAACCCAGCUGUCAUAAGACAGUUACCUUACACUGAAUACAUAGGUGUAUGGAGCGAACCAGGGGAACUGAAACAUCUAAGUACCCUGAGGAAAAGAAAUCAACCGAGAUUCCCUUAGUAGUGGCGAGCGAACGGGGACCAGCCCUUAAGUUGAUUUGAGAUUAGCGGAACGCUCUGGAAAGUGCGGCCAUAGUGGGUGAUAGCCCUGUACGCGAAAAUCUCUUGUCAAUGAAAUCGAGUAGGACGGGGCACGAGAAACCUUGUCUGAACAUGGGGGGACCAUCCUCCAAGGCUAAAUACUACUGACUGACCGAUAGUGGAACCAGUACCGUGAGGGAAAGGCGAAAAGAACCGCGGAGAGCGGAGUGAAAUAGAUCCUGAAACCGUAUGCGUACAAGCCAGUGGGAGCCCACUUUGUUGGGUGACUGCGUACCUUUUGUAUAAUGGGUCAGCGACUUAUUUUCAGUGGCGAGCUUAACCGAAUAGGGGAGGCGUAGCGAAAGCGAGUCUUAAUAGGGCGUCUAGUCGCUGGGAAUAGACCGAAACCGGGCGAUCUAUCCAUGGGCAGGUUGAAGGUUAGGUAACACUGACUGGAGGACCGAACCGACUACCGUUGAAAAGUUAGCGGAUGACCUGUGGAUCGGAGUGAAAGGCUAAUCAAGCUCGGAGAUAGCUGGUUCUCCUCGAAAGCUAUUUAGGUAGCGCCUCAUGUAUCACUGUAGGGGGUAGAGCACUGUUUCGGCUAGGGGGUCAUCCCGACUUACCAAACCGAUGCAAACUCCGAAUACCUACAAGUGCCGAGCAUGGGAGACACACGGCGGUGCUAACGUCCGUCGUGAAAAGGGAAACAACCCAGACCGUCAGCUAAGGUCCCAAAGUCAUGGUUAAGUGGGAAACGAUGUGGGAAGGCUUAGACAGCUAGGAGGUUGGCUUAGAAGCAGCCACCCUUUAAAGAAAGCGUAAUAGCUCACUAGUCGAGUCGGCCUGCGCGGAAGAUGUAACGGGGCUCAAACCAUGCACCGAAGCUACGGGUAUCACGCAAGUGAUGCGGUAGAGGAGCGUUCUGUAAGCCUGUGAAGGUGAGUUGAGAAGCUUGCUGGAGGUAUCAGAAGUGCGAAUGCUGACAUGAGUAACGACAAUGGGUGUGAAAAACACCCACGCCGAAAGACCAAGGUUUCCUGCGCAACGUUAAUCGACGCAGGGUUAGUCGGUCCCUAAGGCGAGGCUGAAAAGCG